CCCGCUUUAUCACUACCCGAAGGAGUCUCAAAGCGGCUAACAUUCUCCUUUCUCUUCCUCCCCCACAACAAACACUCUGUGAGGUGAGUGGGGCUGAGAGACUUCAGAGAAGUGUGACUAGCCCAAGGUCACCCAGCAGCUGCAUGUGGAGGAGCGGAGACACGAACCCGGUUCCCCAGAUUACGAGUCUACUGCUCUUAACCACUACACCACACUGGCUCUCUUCAAGCAUUUUGGAAAUGCGUACAGUAAGCACUCAAAGGGGAUGUGGCAGUAGGAAUGAGUCUGCUUCCUUUGGCCACCUUGUGACCUCCUUGACUUGAAACAUCAGAGUUCUAACGUGUGCUGGGAGCUUCCCAGGUUCUAGAAGGCUCCCUAUUUCACACAGGCACCCUCCAACUUCCAGGGGUUGAGGGGGAUGAAAGAAACAAAGAGGAGGGCCAGAGCUAUCAUACUCCGUUCCGGCACCUCUCAGGUGGGCGCCAUUGCCAUUGUAAGAGAACAAGGGAGGUGUUUGUGGUGAGUUCCAGCACCUCUUUUUCUAGAAAAAUAGCACUACUUGCCCCCACCCCCACGUGUUUACUAUACACUGUUCCAGAAUUCCUGAAGAGGGUUAUAAAUAAAUAUGAACAAGUAAAUUGUCCUUCUGCUUAAGUGGAGAGUAGUUCUCCAAAAGAAGAAAAGAAAUGGUUUGGGAAGGGAAGGAACUGUUCUAUAGAAAGUGUUGGGUUCAUUUGCUUUUACAAAGCAGCCUCGCUUAGAAAAGAGCAUUUCAUCAAAACCCAGCCUGUCUCUGGAGGCCUCGUGACAUUCUUCAGCAAUGCAGAAAGUGAAAAAUCAGAUGCCAGUCAGAAUGUGCGCGUGGAAGCCAGUUUCCAUAAUAAAGUACUUGAUCUUCUCAAAUAAAAAGCAAAAAUCCCGAUAUGUCUCUAUAGGAAUAAACUGGCAAGGAACAACAAAUAAUAUAUUACAAGAAUUGUUUUCUCCUUUAGUCUAGACAAGAGAAGGUGUGAUGACCUUUGCUGCUUCUGCCAACACCAACAGUUUACGUCGCAGCUGGAAGGACGGUCCCAGCUAACGGGGAGUCCAGUGGCUUGUCAGCCCAACAAUCCACUCGGGACAUUAUUUCAAGCUGUCCUUUGGCAUUUGGAGAUGCGAAGGCCUUUUGUGCUAGCCUUUUGUGGGUUCAUUUGUUGUGUCCAAAUGAGGAAGGCUGGCAGAAUGUGAAAAUUUAUAUAAAUGAGGGCAUUGUGUGUUCAAAAGAAGAGAGGUACGUUUGAUCUUAGCUGUUACUGAUUUACCUUUUCCUCGUGAUAACAUUCAUUAGGCAGGAUAAGGUAAUGCCGCUGAGUCCCCUUUAUAUUGUCAACAGUUAAAAUAUAGGCAUCAUAUAAGGUGUAACAUCAGUCAUGUCUCAAGGCAACAACCCCCCCCCCACCUAACCAUGAUUUGAAACUUCUUCUGCACCAGGCGUUUUCUUUGAACAUACAGUCCCUCCUCUCUGUUUCUAGAUAUUUGCGGCUUCGCUCAAAUAUACACAGCAAGAAAUGUUUACUUCGUGCCACAUCAGGGAUUCUGGAGCUUGUUUUGGUAUGCUCAGAGUCUGAGGCUAGGAUCUAGCUUGGAGAGCCACUUGGGACCACAGGUAUGGUCUAAGCCUCCUUUAAAGCCAUCCAAAUUUGUGACUAUCGCUAGCUCUUUUCCCACUACUGUCACUAGGCACUGUGUGAAGAAUUUUGUCCAUCCCGAAUCUUCCGACAUUCAGCUUCACUGGAUGUUCCCAAUAUUAUGUGAGAGGGAGAUUUUUUAAAAUUCAUUUUCUCCACAACAUUCAUAAUUCUACACAUCUCUCUCACUUCCCUCCCCAAUAUCCACCUUUCUUUAAACAAGAAAGUCCCAAAUCUUACAUCCUUUCCUUGUAGGGGAGUCACUUUAUCCCAUUGAAUAUUUUGGUUGCCCUUUUCUGAACAUUUUCUGGCUCUAGGAUCUCCUAUUUUAAGUGAGGUGACCAGAAUUGUACACAGUAUUCCUAGUGCAGUCAUUCCGUAGAUUUGUAUAAAGGAGUUUUAUUUCCAUUUUCUUUCCUAAUGGGUCCCAGCGUAGAAUUUGCCUUUAUUCACAGAUACUACAGUCUGGUCACUCACCACCAGUUCAGAUCCUAUAAGCGUCCAUGUGAAAUUAAGAUAUAUAUAUAUAUAUUGCCCACUUGCUUAACACCUGCUUACAGGUCAAUUGGUCACAAUUUACCCCACUGUGGUGAGAUUUUUGUGUGUUUCUAUUUAAAUUAAAAUUAUUGUUAUCAGAAGUACAGUGAUUUUAAAAUUUGCACCUAUAAAUAUAAAUUAACAUGCAAUUUGUAUGCAAAUCAGUGUGCCCCUCUCUUUUUGGGAGAUCAUAGAAUCAUAGAAUCUUAGAGCUGGAAGAGGACCAAGGGUCAUCUAGUCUAACCCCCUGCAAUGCAGGAACCUCAGCUAAAGUAUCCAUAACAGAUGGCUGCCCAACAUCUGCUUUAAAACCUCCAAGGAAGGAGAGUCCACCACCUCCCGAGGAAGACUGUUCCACUGUUGAACAGCUUAUUGCCAGAAAGUUUUUUCUGUAUAUUUUGUGCAUUUUGGCAGUGUGUAAAUGGUCAACCUACUUAGCUUUGGGCUAAGUAGGUAUUGUUUUGUUAAUUUACCAAUGGAUUUCUAUGCUGAUUUUAAACUUGGAAGGCCUUCUUACUUCACAUAUUGAAGACUUGAAGAGGGGUACAAACUUGCUGGUAAAAAUGGGGUAGGUGGGUGCAUUUUCUGAGUGUUCCUAUAGCUUUUCUCCAGACUAAGUUUUAUACAAGUUAUGUUUUUUUUUUUUUAAAAAAAAGAGAUUGGAAAGGGAGGAAUAUGUGCCGUACAAGGUGCUGAGAUCAUUCACAUUUCAAAUGCCAGUCAGACACACAGGAGGUGUUUGUUUUGGGAGAUAAUUAGAUGGUGAUGUAAUUAGAAGCAGUGGCUGGUGCUAGGAAGCACAAUCUUCUAGAGACAGGCAUUUCUGCUAAUUUGCUGCUGUUCAGGCUAUUCAAAUGGGAGCGGCCGUUAGGAUAAGAACUAGGGGCCCAGGCUUAGGAGAAAACCUGCAGAAGAGAAAAACAGGUUGGGUGGCUGUUGCCCAUGCAUUUGCCAACUGCUUCUCAUGUCCCUCAUGCUUUAAAGGCAGGGGGUCUCUGGAUUAUAGUCACAGAAACCUGUGGUGAGAUCAGGUACUCUGGGCUCACUCCCCUGUUCACCACCAUGUCGUAGAAGAACUUCAAGCAACUGCAGCAUGCUCAGCCUAGGCUGAAGAAUCUCACUCCCAAAGUUCUCACUUUCCGUUUUGCUUAUCAAAUAUACCACUCAACCUGUUAAUAUACUACUCAACCUGUUAAUUUGGUGCUGACCUUUCGUUCAGCCCGGACACUAAGAUCCAGCGCCCAGGGCCUUCUCGCGAUUCCCUCAUUGCGAGAAAUGAGGUUACAGGGAACCAGACAGAGGGCCUUCUCGGUAGUGGCUCCCGCCCUGUGGAACGCCAUUCCAUCUGAUGUCAAGGAAAUAAACUACUGUCAGACUUUUAGAAGACAUCGGAAGGCAGCCCUGUUUAGGGAAGUUAAUAUUUAAUGCUGUAUUGUUUUUAACACUCGAUUGGAAGCAGCCCAGAGUGGCUGGGGAAACUCAGCCAGAUGGGAAGGGUAUAAAUAAUAAAUUAUUAUUAUUUUGAUUAUUAUUAUUUAUCUGAUGCUUAAAGGUCUGGGUAUAUAUAUAUAUAUAGAGAAGGCAGAUCAAUAUGUUGAUCUAACCAGGCCUGAAUGUAACUUUCCUCACAAGUUGGCCCUUUUAAUUUGUUGGUGAAUCCAUAAAUUGAAGAGUCAAGACUUUCUCCUCCCCAUCCCCCGCACCCGGCUCCCUCUUCUUUCAUUUCCCUGAGCUGUAAGUCCACCUGUCACCACUCCAGUAAAAUUACUGGAAUUUGUCUUUGCCUUUUCUCUGCCUUUCAUGAAUACCCUAUUCAUGCCAUAAUCACUUCCUAUCUCAUCUGCUUCAAUUGCAUUGCAAAUAUGGCCUUUCUUUCAAAAUCCUUCCCUUCUAAGAUAUAAACUCCAUCUCACUGGAGUAUGAAUGGCUGGAUUCUGCCAAGAGAACUACUGAAAAGGGGAACAGAGGCUUCUCUUAGGAAUGUGUGGCGCACCAAGCAAAAGGUAGCCCACGAGCUUGCCAGGUAUCUUGCAACCCCAUUUUUGUAAUCAUGGGUGAGCAAUAAAAACAGAAGGUUCACCAAGCUCCUGAGAGGGUGCAUACAUGCCCAGUGGUUCUCUGGAUUGCAGGUCCACAUUGCAAGAAAGCCCAAGAUCUGCCCAAACCCUAUCAGGUGGGUUGAUGUAGCCAUGAGAGGGUUAAAUUUAGAAGCUCUUUAUUUCUAAGAGCCAUUGACAGGGAGAGCCAACUAAUUCUAAUUUUGUCCCCAUACUCCCCCUUGGAUUUGGAUUUGAUAUCCCGCUUUAUCACUACCCGAAGGAGUCUCAAAGCGGCUAACAAUCUCCUUUCCCUUUCUCCCCCACAACAAACACUCUGUGAGGUGAGUGGGGCUGAGAGACUUCAGAGAAAUGUGACUAGCCCAAGGUCACCCAGCAGCUGCAUGUGGAGGAGCGGAGACGCGAACCCGGUUCCCCAGAUUACGAAUCUACCGCUUUUAACCACUACACCACACUGGCUCUCCCUUGGCCUGGUUGCAAGAAGGCAAGCAGGUGUAAAUGGCUGGGGGGGGUGCAGAUUGAAGUUGGAGGGGCAGUGCCCCAUUUGCCCUAAUGGACAAGCAUCCACUGGGGAUCCCAAACGUUCCCCAAGGUACAAAAAAAUAUUUAGGAAAAAACCCUUUGGGGGGGGGGGGGAGAAAGACCCACUGGGGUCUUGGAGACCAUGCAAUGCUGCCUGGUACGCAUGAGUUAAAAGUAGACUGCUAGAGAAGGAGCAGAAAGAGAGUUGGCUGGAACCCUGAACAGGUCCCCCUCAUAUUUGUUAAAACAAAGCACUGCUUUUUGCAACCCACUUAAAGCAAACACGCUUCAUAAAAAACACAUAUUGAGUUAGCUGAAAUUUGCUUGGAAUCCGUUUAUGCCAACCCUGGCCUCCCUCCCUCAUUCUCCUUCCCCCCCGCUCUCCACAAUCCCAUAAGCAAAGGAUCAACGUGUUGCAUAUCCUUAAUGGGCAUGACCAGUGGAAGGAUUAAGGUAAGGAUCUCAGCAGUCGUCAAAGUUCUGAACAAAUGUUCAUGUUUGCAUUGUUCCCCCCAUGUCUUCACCUCGUUUAACAGGAAAGGAGGGAUUUUGUUUCUCCACUCUUACUAUGCUCCCUCUAUUUCCCAGAGACUGGCUGACUGCAACAGUGACUGACAGCUUGAGUCAGCAGUGCAGCUGGCUUUUAAGAACGGAGGUAUGGAAGACAAGGCAGCUAACCCAUGAUGGCUACGUUUGACCACAAUUGUUGGAGGCAGGAUGGUCUGAAAACCAGCUCCUGGGAAUCACAAGGAGGGAGAGUAGCCAGGGAGUGCUCCUGGGUCCACUUUCAUUGCCAGAGCGCCAGGUGACCUCAGUGACUAGGAGCGCCUUCCACUAGCUUUGGCUCGUAAGACAUCUGGGGCCAUUUCUGGACUGGGGUAGCCUGACCACUGUUGCCCAUGCACUGAUAACCUCCAGGCUGGAUUUCUGCAAUGCCACACCUUCCAAGUUUCCCUAUCUUCCCGGGACAGUCCUGGUUUUACAGAAGCCAUCUUCAUUUCUGAUUUGAACCUGGAAUGUCCCACUUUUCCUUAGGACGUUCCUAUUUUCAUUGGAGAAAUGUUGGAGGGUAUGGAGCUAUGUGACCCCUGAGACAAAGAGAUAAGAAAAUAUACAACCUUUAGAAGACAUCUGAAGGCAGUAUUAUGUUUUUUAUAUAUGUCGGAAGCCGCCCUGCAUGACUGGGGAAACCUAGUUAGAUGGCCAGUGUGCAAAUAAUAAGAUUAGUAGUAGUAGUAGUAGUAGUAGUAGUAGUAUUGAAUAAAAAGGUAAAGGUAAAGGACCCCUGACAGUUAGGUCCAGUCACAGUUGACUCUGGGGUUGUGGCUCUCAUCUCAUUUUACAGGCCAAGGGAGCCGGCGUUUGUUCACAGACAGUUUUUCUGGGUCAUGUGGUCAGCAUGACUAAGCCGCUUCUGGUGCAAUGGAACACCGAAACCAGAGCAGCACAUGGAAACGCCGUUUACCUUCCCGCCGGAGCGGUACCUAUUUAUCUACUUUCACUUUGACGUGCUUUCGAGCUGCUAGGUUGGCAGGAGCAGGGACCAAGCAAUGGGAGCUCACCCUGUUGCGGGGAUUCGAACCGCCGACCUUCUGAUCAGCAAGUCCUAGGCUCUAUGGUUUAACCCACAGCGCCACCUGCGUCCCUUUAUUCCCACCAAUUAUAUUUGGCGUGCUUUUGAACUGCUAGGUUGGCAGGAGCUGAGUCUGAGCAACGGGAGCUCACCCCGUCGCGGGGAUUCGAAUAGGACAUCCCUAUUCUCAUCUGAGAAAUGUUGGAAGGUAUCCAAUCUGCUUUAUAAAAACAUAAUUAAUUGAUAAUCACAGGCCAAGGACACAUCAUAGCUAGACAAAAGCCUUCAAGCAGGGUGUGGUGGGGAGUCAUGCUUUUGAAGGAUGUGCUGGGGAGAGUGGGCAUGGUUUAGGAGGAGUUCUGAGGGCCAGAUAAGGGAGGUCUGGAGGCCUUGGGGUCUAGGGUCCCCCACUCAUGCCUUGCAACACUGGAUUUGCCUCCAAUUUUGUAGAGAAUGGGAAGGACGCGGGUGGCGCUGUGGGUUAAACCACAGAGCCUAGGACUUGCCGAUCAGAAGGUAGGUGGUUUGAAUCUCCACGAUGGGGUGAGCUCCCGUUGCUCGGUCCCAGCUCCUGCCAACCUAGCAGUUCGAAAGCACGUCAAAGUGCAAGUAGAUAAAUAGGUACCUCUCUGGCAGGAAGGUAAACGGCGUUUCCGUGCGCUGCUCUGGUUUGCCAGAAGCGGCUUAGUCAUGCUGGCCACAUGACCCGGAAGCUGUACACAGGUUCGCUCGGCCAAUAAAGCUAGAUGAGCGCCGCAACCCCAGAGUCGGCCACGACUGGACCUAAUGGUCAGGGGUCCCUUUACCUUUACCUUUGUAGAGAAUGGAGAGGAAAAGAGGCACCUUAGCCCUUCUCUGGGAAUUCCAAAAACGUAAAAGGGUAAAGAGAAAAUAGAAUUCUGUGUGUUUUGGAUGCAUCAGUUUUAUCUUCAUCUUCUACACUCUUUGCAGGUGGGUGUAUUGCCAAAUUAUAUACAUAGUUUACUUUCCAUAAGGAUUUCUUAAAGGGGAAAAAAAAGUGGCUUAACAUUUGUUUACAGUUUGCAAAAACUAUUUUAGUGAUUCAUUUUGGCUGGGAGGUGAAAACAAAUCAAAGAUAUAACAGUGCUAUAAAUUCUCUAAGUGAAAUAUAAUUUGAAGGAAGAGUGCAAUUGCUAAAAAUUCACUCCAGGUCAAAUAUACAAUUUGUUGAUUAGGAGGUUGAACAAAUGCUUUUGAUAUUUUUUUUUCAAAGGGAAGAGAUGGUUUCAUUUUAGUUCAUAUUUAUUAUAUGGUAUGUUCCAAAGCACAACUAGCAAUUUCCUGACCUUCCAGCUGCUCUGUCUGUGAUCCUGGGACACACCUGCAGAUCACAGAGUCACAAUUGCUGUAACCUAGUUUUUUUGUGUUUUGUUUUGUUCUCACAUGCCAUCUAGGUCUAGAGGCUUCCAGUGAUUUUCUUCCAAAGCACAGAGAAGAGUUCUAUGUAUCUCAAAGCUAUUUUAAAAUAAUUCAUUUUGUUCCCACCAUCAAGGCAUCAACAAUACUUUGAAUCAUCUAUGAGCUAGAAGACUGAAUUUUUAAACAUUUUAUUAGCACCUGCUAUCCCAGUUUUCAAAUCACAUUAUCAUUGUUGAUGCUUGUGCUCAGGAUACUGUUAAAGUUGUUCAGUGGAAUCCCUGAGCUGGGCCUUGCAUAUGAGCAAUGUCAAAGUUUCAAAGCUUUACCGCAGAACAGUCUUAAAACUAUUUAAAUAUAAACAUUGCAUGGACAAUAUAACAAAGCAACAUGUUGCAAACUAGCAAUGUGGCUCAGUCCUUUAAGUCCUUUAUGGAAUUCUUGGUCCGAGAGAGAGAUUAUAGCUUGUUCAUCAUUGCAAAGUUUCUCUGCUACUGCUGCUGCUACUAGCCAUCUCUGACUUCUCAAGUUCCUUCACCUACUUUGAGAGCUGCAGCUCAGGUUUCCUGUGAUGAGUCAUCAUCACACCAGCCUUCCGCUUUCACCCAGAGUGGAACCUUUCGGUUAAGGUAAAUUUCGGUGAUUAUUAUUUUUUAAGUAUUUUAAAUGUUUUGUUACAAUUAACCAGAACAACUUUAACAAGCAUUGGAGUACUGAGGUGGUCAAAUUACCCAUUUCCAUUUUUGGGUUCACACUUGUUGCAACUAGGAAUAUUGAAGAAGUCUGAUAAAAAUGUAAAUGGGAGGAGAAAUUGCUAAUCUUCGCUUAGUUAAACCAUUUAUGGCCUUUUAAAGUAGUGGGUAUUGUUUUGUUCAUUACUAUGUUUUGUAUUUUUUGUGUUUAUAUUUGAAACCAUCCUGUGAUCCUCGGAUGAAGGGCAGUACAGAAAUUCAACAAACAAACCAACAAAUAUCCAUCUCAUGUCUGGAACGGAAGUCAGUCCAGUGAAUAUGAUCUGUUGUUUUUGUUGUUUUCAGUCUGCAAACGAUAUGCAAUUGAUCGCACACCUCAUUUGCAUCAUGUUUCUUUGCAUUUAAAUGAAUAGGGUGGAAUAACAGUGGCAACAUAAUGUAUAUAAUUUGCAUAAUUAAUUACAUAAAUCAUAUGAGUUAUAUAAGUCUGCUACAGUGGACAGUGAAACAAAUAGUGUAGCUUUUGGUAGAAAACGAACUGCAGUGGUAGAGAAGCAGUGUUGCAUGUGAUGAAUACAGGGUGGAACGGGCAAGCUUCUUACAUCCCUAGUUGCAACACAUUAAAGGCUGAACGAAUCUGUGAACUCAACACAGAGACCUCAACAGUGUCCCACUCAAUACGUGCAGGUGGGCCUGGAUGAGGGCAGAAUGACAUUAUUAUUCUUAAAUUAUUACUUGCUUUAGUCUUAUGGGACAGUGGCCCAGUCACCCUAAUGGACACAAUCCAGGGGGAAGAGGGAGAACUGCAUGUGGUGUUGGUGGCAAUUCAGUGGUCUCCAUCCCCCUUAGUUCCAUUCUAUAAGAACAUAACAAUAUUACAGUGCAAUUUGUCUUAGAGGUCUUUUGCUGUAGUAAACGGCAUAUGAAAUUUGUUAAAUGAAAAAUGCAGGGUGACUAAGUCCCAUUGAGCUCUGUGAGGCAUGCUCUCAGGUGUAAGUGGUGUGGAAUUGCAGUCUCAAGCCCUUCUAUAUAUUUGUGAGACUCACUUUCACAGCUUUUAUGUUCUCCAUUCCUUUUUGCCAAGUUUUGGAGGUGGCGAGCUAUUUUUUGUUUUGUUUUGAUACAUUUGACACUAGAAGUCAAGAUUUCCAGACACUCUUCCCUCAGUGCCAAAGGGUUAAAGAAGAAAGUUGGCUCCUUCAGUAGUUUUUUCCAAGUUUUUAUUGCUCUCUCCUCCACAUAUCCAAAGGAGGGGGGAAACCCCACCGAAUCAAAAUGUACCUAUGUGGAGGUUUUCAAUUAGCUCUUUUCACCCUCAUGAGUGCACAAGAGUACUCUGUGGGAGUACUUCACUGAAGACCUGUUGCUGUUGCUGUUGCUAUUGCUAUUAUUAUUAUUAGUAGUAGUAGUAGUAGUAGUAGUCAUUUGAUGGCUACCUUGAUUUUCUUUUAAGUCUUAAUUUCUCUUUCUAGCACAACGUCAAUUUCAUGGCCAACCUUAUGAAACAAUAUGAAGUAAGCCAUUUCAGGUGGAAGCUUCUAGAAGGGUAGCCAUCUUGCUGCUCUACCUGUGUGUGCUAUGAAAAAAAAUAUGAAUUCCACUCACAUGUUGAGUGGGAUCCCAAUGAAUACCAAGUCCAUGUUGCUUCCCAUGAAACAGUCAAAAUAGGCAGUGUCCUGCUUGGCUUCCUUUCUUGACAAUAGUGAAAAAAUGAUGUAGAAGUUGGAUAUAAAUCCGUAAGUGACCUAAAGGCAGGGAUGGAGAACCUGUGGCUCUCCUUAUGCCAUUGAUCUGCAACUCCCACCAGCCUCAGCCAGGAUAUUGGACUCAGUAUGCUUCUGAAUACCAGUUGUUGGGACAAUCAGUGGCCCCAAGGUCACCCACAAAGCUUUAUGGCCGAUUGGGCCUCCAUUAUCUCAAGUUGAACAAUCCACAUGCUAUAUACAGUUCUAACUCCCCCAGUUUCAUGAAAACGGACUUUCCAAAACUGUAUAUAAUGUGUGUGUGUGCGCACUUCAAUGGAGUAUGUCAUCGCUGCAGGAUAUUUUAAUACAGUUUGAGCUCUUACAUGUUCAAAUCCAGCAUUAGAAUAUUUUAAAAAAAUUAAUGGCUAUUGUUUUAACCUUGUGAUUUUUCUCUGCCGUUAGGAAGAAAAUGAAAUUGUAUCUGCUGAGAUUCAUUGCAGAGGGUAGUGUUUUAAUAACACAGCAUUUCUUUACCCCUCCUCCUUCUUCUCCUCCUUUUCAUUUGAAAAUCUCUCAAGAUUCAGGGGGCAAAAAACCCCUGACUUAAUAUAUGUGCAAAUUACUCAUAGCAUUCACAUCCCUUGUUCCUACAAAGCUGCUCUGAUGACGCUAUUAAAUGAAGGGCAUAUGGCAACCCUUUCGGCCUUCCUGGUUAAUUGGAAAAUGAUUCAGUAACUAUUUAAUAUAAUCUUGUUACUGUUACUAGGGAAAGGGUAGUUUCACCAGCAAUUGUGACUUUAGUUCCCAGAAGAUUAGUUCUUUUGUACCUCUUCCCUCCACCCAAGGAAAAUUCCUGAACUUCAGCCGAUGCAGAGGAACACAUCUACCAGCUGUGAGGCACAUGUAGGAUUACAGCAGGAUUGGCCUGGAAAAGCUCGAAUUCACAAGUAUGGUAAACCAUACUCAGCAUGGUAUCUUAUUUAUUGGGAACUUUACAAAACACUUUCAUCAUAAUUCCUUUCAAAGACAGACUGAGCAUAGCAUGCCUUCUUUAUGCAUUCCUUAUUACAUUAUAAUCACAAGCUGUCUUAGUGAAACAUAAUACUAUAAGCCUAAAUUUUGAAGGAAUGGUGAACAAAGCAUUUUUUUUUUUACAUUGUAAAUUAGCUGCUCUUGUAAUUGAAAUAAUAGAAAUAGCCUGAAUCAAAAAUUGAAGAAUAUGAUUAUUGGGAUCUCUUGUGAAUAUAUGGUGGCUGUCAGGGGUGGGGUGGGGGGAACUUCUUGGAUACAUUUGAGAGCAAGGAAGCCUUGUUCAUGUAUGGUGCAUGACACUAGCUAUAAAAAUAAGAAUGCUUUAGUCACACAACAAAAGCUCAUCAGUCCAAAUAGCCAGGGUUCUGAUAAGCAUUUGUAUAAGGGGUGAGAGACCACUAGCUCAUAGGACAGAGCUGGCCCAUCAACCCUUUCUCAAUAGCCCACCAAACUCCUGCCAUUUAUCUUGGCAACUUCCUGACCCUGCCACACCCCAAUCUGUUCUGGAAUUAAGGGAUCUGUCCAGUAAAGCAUGGGAGGAGACUGAGGGGUCUGCAAAGGGAAUGGGGAAUCAGUGAAAACCACAUCCUCACCACACAUCCAUUUACAAUGGUCUUUGCUGGAUCUAGGUUCUUCCAUUCAUGGGUUAGCAGUCAAUAACACAACUUUCACCUUGAUGAAAUUGCUGCUGCUUGCCAAGUGGUUGCAGUAGCAACUGACUAGGUAUCCACUUAAGUCUUCUGCUCCAAGACCUGAAGCAGCUUGAAUGUGGCUGAUUUGUGUCUUACCAAAGGUGCUUGCACAGCCGUCAUACGCAAUAAUAAUAAUAAUUUAUUAUUUGUACUCUGUCCAUCUGACUGGGUUUAAUCUGAUUGAUUAAAUUUAAGAUGAACGUGAGAAACUGGUCCACAAACCAGGAUAUUUUUUUUUUUUGCAACAGAACCUUGCUCUGUAGGCUUUGUGUGCAGUCCAAACAUAGUGAAAUUGGAGCAAGUGCAUGGCAUGUUAUUUUAUUAGCAGAUGUAUAUACCACUUUUCUUCCAUCGUGGGACCCAGAGAAGUGAACAUAGGGUUUCCAGGUGGUUCCCCCAUCCAGCAACUGAUCUGACCCAAACCUGUAAGGUAGCUGCAUCAUGUACUUAGACUAUGUCCUGGGAAACCACGCAUGAGCAUCUCUGUAUUUAUCCUGAAAAGGGUUGAGACUUGUGUCCAGCUGAACACACACAAAGCCCUCAAAGGCGCUUGGAAAAAGUCCACUGUGUUUCUACCUCUGCUUCCUUCCUCCUGAAGGCAAAGAAACUUGCCUUUGGGCAAAUAAAAGGACAGACGUGUGUGUGUGUGUGUGUGUGUGUGUGUGUGUGUGUCUGUCUUUUGGUGCCUUUUCACCAUUCCAAAAUUAUUUCUCUUGUCAUGUAAAAAGAAGCUGAAGACAGUCCUUGGGGAAAAAAAUCUCACAGUUGUGGAAUGAGAAAUUAUAGGCAUUGGAACACAUUGCAUGGAUGGGCUUGUUUUCUUUCCUUCCGGUUUCUGAUCCAUAAGAAAUGUUUUCAUAACUUUUUUAUCCUUCUGUCUGAAAUCAUAAGGACUGGAAUCAGACUUACAAUGUUUUAACAUCUAUGCAAUGGUGGUUGAAUAGCAAUUGCCUAUGUUGAAUGGCAACUGCAGGAAUUGGUAUGAAUGUGCACAUUACUCAUGAUCCAUGAAGCCUCAGGCCCUCCAGGGACCCAAAGAAGACUUGAAAGGGGUUGAGGCACUGGCUGCUGCAACCAGGAGGAACUUUCACCAACGCCGUCCCCAAUGGAAGAUAUGUCCCCACCAGUCCCCAGCACAAUUUCCAUCUCUUCAAGCUUGCAGAAGUCAGGAGAUACAGAAUCAGGCAGAGACCCACUAAAGAACAUAGCCAGCUUGUUCAGAGAGGCAGUGACUAAUGCAGAAGAGCACUUGCCUAAAUUUAGAAGGCUUCAGGAGGCUUCAACUCUCUGCUGAGGCAACAUUGCCUAAACCAGGGGAAAGAAAAGCUCUUGAGUUCCCUGGGAGCUUUCCAUGGUCCUGAUAUGGUCUGCCUGAACCUGAAUGCACCAUGCUGCAGUUUCCCGAAUCUGCCUUUACCUGAUGUGAUACUACAGAUUGCGACAUUACCUGGUGUGACCUUGUUCACUGAGUCUCUAUAUAAUAAGCUUCAGGCUUCUGCAUAGCAGAGUAACUUUGAGGAAACCUAUGGUUGCAUCAAUAUACUUUGUAUAUGUGGCAUUUUAACAUUGUGUGCAUGAGUAUAUGGGCACAUGACAAUAGGAAGUACGUUGAGAUUGGCUUUCUUUUCUUUUUUGCCAGUAUUUUAUCAAUGCACUGAUCUCACCAGAGAUCAUUUAGAGGAAGAAAAGAGAUGGAGGAAAUGGAAACUGCAGCCAAUAGCUUGUGCUCCAAUCUAGGAAUUACCAUUAGAAAUAUUUCUGGUUAAUUCCACACGUGCAUCCCCCAAGUUAAAUUGGAGUACACUGGAGUGCAAAACGGGGGAAUAGGAGAGUGAAUCAGAAGAGCAGUAAAGGAAGUAUGUAAUGAAUGGAAUUCAUUCAUGCCCAUUUUAACUGUAAGGCUUUUGGGACAUAAACUGGAGCUCUAUCCCUUGAGCCACUUGGUCAAUCCCAGUGGAAUGAGGUGAAGGCAGAGAGAGAAGAGAAGCCCGCGGCCGGACAGAGCAGUCUCUGUUUAGAAGUAUUUAUGGGGCAGAGAAUAUAACUUGAUCAGCUCUCAUCUAGAAGUCUGAAGAGCAGGCCUGGCAUCAGCACAUGGCAGAGUUGGGAGAGAGCCAGAACUGGGCUGUGAUAUACAGACAAGUCUCUGCCUAAUAGUUCUCAUGCAACUAGUUGGAGACUUGCUGUGGUUCUAGUCCUCUCUGAGGAAAACCCAUGGCUGGCAUGGCCAAAGCAGAUUUUCAUGCUUUUGUCUUGAUCUACUUCUUCUCACUUAGAUUUCUCCCUCUGUAAUGUACCAUUCAUACUAUGGGAGAGGAGGGAAGGAGAACUAAAUAUAUGGAUACAGACUAUUUACACUUAUCAUAGAAUCAUAGAAUCAUAGAAUCAUAGAGUUGGAAGAGACCACAAGGGCCAUCGAGUCCAACCCCCUGCUGAGCAGGAAACACCAUCAGAGCACUCCUGACAUAUGGUUGUCAAGCCUCUGCUUAAAGACCUCCAAAGAAGGAUCCACCACACUCCUUGGCAGCAAAUUCCACUGUCAAACAGCUCUUACUGUCAGGAAGUUCUUCCUAAUGUUUAGGUGGAAUCUUCUUUCUUGUAGUUUGGAUCCAUUGCUCCGUGUCCGCUUCUCUGGAGCAGCAGAAAACAACCUUUCUCCCUCCUCCAUGUGACAUCCUUUUAUAUAUUUGAACAUGGCUAUCAUAUCACCCCUUAACCUCCUCUUCUCCAGGCUAAACAUGCCCAGCUCCCUUAGCCGUUCCUCAUAAGGCAUCGUUUCCAGGCCUUUGACCAUUUUGGUUGCCCUCCUCUGGACACGUUCCAGUAUGUCAGUGUCCUUCUUGAACUGUGGUGCCCAGUUAAUAAUAAUAAUAAUAAUGCGCUGUUAAAACAAAACAGACAGACAGAUGGACAGAUAGACAUGCCCUCUUUAACAAGUGACCCUUUACUUCUCAGUCUACACCAUGUUCCAAACUUUAGGUGAUUAACCUAUCACUUAAACCAAGGCUGAGAAACCCUAGGCCCAGAGGCCUCUCUGUAUGGUCCUCAUUCUUCUUCCCAGGCCAUGCCCCUUUCUCCCCAGACUCCACCGCUCACUGGUCCUGCUCUGCAUUCCAAGUGUGGCUGGAAUGUGUCCUUGACCUGUGGAUGUGUGUAAAAACUAGUCUACUGUACAAAGAUAAAAUUUCCAUUUGUUGCUCCACCCACUUCUGCCAAUGGCCCAACCCACCACUGGCAUGUGAUCCUCAGAAGGUUGAGAGUCCCAUGGACUGCAAGAAGAUCAAACCGAUCCAUUCUGAAGGAAAUCAACCCUGAGUGCUCACUGGAAGGACAGAUCCUGAAGCUGAGGCUCCAAUACUUUGGCCACCUCAUGAGAAGAGAAGACUUCCUGGAAAAGACCCUGAUGUUGGGAAAGAUUGAGGGCACAAGGAGAAAGGGACGACAGAGGACGAGAUGGUUGGACAGUGUUCUCGAAGCUACCAGCAUGAGUCUGACCAAACUGCGGGAGGCAGUGGAAGACAGGAGUGCCUGGCGUGCUCUGGUCCAUGGGGUCACAAAGAGUCGGACAUGACUAAACGACUAAACAACAACAACAAGGGCAGGGAGAGCCAACAUGGCGUCCUCCAGAUGUUUAGGACUCUGACUCCCACCAGCCCCAACAUGUAUGGCCAGUGCUCAGAGGUGAUGGGAGUUGUAGUCCAAAAAAUCUGAAGGGCACUACAUUGGAUUCUCCUGGUCUUGCAAGCUACAAGUUGAGAUUUACUGAAGCACUUAAGAAAUUUGCCUGGAGAAGAAAAGCAGGUACCAUUAAGAACAGCAAAUGGGGGGGGGGAACACCCUGUUUUUUUAUAUCUAGUUUUACUGUUCAUCGUGAGGCUUGUCUCUUGACAGGCAUAAAUCACAUUUGCAGAUUAAACUAAUUUUCUGUGGCCUAAAAGGGCUUUUCUGGAUCCAGUCAUUACAAUUUUAAUUUAACCAUUUCCAUAUGUGGAGAAAACAUGUCUCGGUGCAAUGAUGUAAAACUUUAUUACAGCAAUUGAGAAACUCAUCUCCUCAUGUUUCUUCUGCACUUUCAUAUGCCUUGGCUGCCGGGAGGUAACGUAAGGAACGUAAAAUUUAAUGAUGCAGUGAUCCAUAAUGAUAACUUGCCCAUAAGUCAUGCAAAGAAGGCCUCAAUGGGGAACAGCUGGUGUGAGAGAGCAUCAUCUCUUUCUAAUUAAUGCCUCAAAAAGGUGUACAGCUAUGUUCAUUAAGGAGUUCACCUGAAUUCAGCAAACUGUAAAGCUGAAAGGUUGCCACUUGCCACAUUAUCAUUAAGCUAUAAGACCCCCUAAGGUCAUUUGCUUAGAUUCAAUGUGACUUUUAUUCAAGAAAAUGUGCUUAGGGUGGAUGGAUCUCCUUGUUUCAUGUCUGUUUUAUGUUCACAUUUCAGCCAUAAUUCCAUUCUAUUUCACACACACACACACACCCCGCAGAUCACCUUUUUGAACUGUUCCUCUCAUCGUAGCAUUUAAAUGCGCAUUUUCCUUCAAAAUGCAAUUUAAAUGUGUACUUUCUCUCAAAAUAUGUAUUUGUUUGCAUAGUUUGGUAUGUCUAAAUUGCCAAGAGUUGUGUCACAACACAGUCAUAGAAGGGCAACAUCUGUGGGAUAGCUAAAUUACAACCUGCAAAGGUAAAGGUAAAGGCGACUAUGGGGUGUUGUGCUCAUCUCGCUUCAGGCCGAGGGAAGCUGGCGUUUGUCCACAGACAGCUUUCUGGGUCAUGUGGCCAGCAUGACUAAACUGGUUCUGGUGCAACGGACACCAUGCUGGAAGCCAGAGCACAUGGAAAUGCCAUUUACCUUCCCGCCACAGGGGUACCUAUUUAUCUACUUGCACUGGCAUGCUUUUGAACUGCUAGGUUGGCAGAAGCUGGGAGAGAGCAACCAGAUCUCACCACUGUUGAGUGGAUUUGAACUGCUGACUUUCUGAUUGGCAAGCCCAAGAGGCUCUGUGGUUUAGACCACAGCACCACCCACAUCCCCAUACCUUUUACCUUCACAACUUGCACAAUAGAUGAAUUGGGACAGUUCAGGAUAUUUCUUAUAAGAACUCUAUAAUACCUAAUUCCCCAAGGAUAGCUACAGGAUUGUAAUGCCAAAGUGUUUUGCUUAAGGAUUCUGAGGCUUAUCUUUUAGCAUGAGCUGAAAUUCAACUUGUAACGUAUUUCAUUCAUCCAUUGCUAUUCACAGAUCUGGAAAAAAGGACUGUGGUCCAGACAAUGGAAUGGAAUCAAGGACAACUGAAAAAUGCUGAGAUAAGAUGAACACUAAAAAGAAGCAAAUCUGUUGGAAUUUAAAGAAAAUGCUUUCAUAGCAUACUUUUAAAAAAGAAGUAAUAAAGACAAUUUUGUUGGGAAUCUGAAGUGAGAUGGCUGCGUAGGAGAAGUUGUCCCUAGUUCCAGUCACCACACAGAGGCAGCUUUAAGGUCCAAAAUAGUUUAUUGCUGAAGAAGAUAAGGCUUCAGAAAUACAGUUCUGGACAUUGACAUACAGCUUGUAGGCUUUGCGGAUACAGAUGCAGAUAUAUACAACCACAUAGUAUCUCUUUUGCUCCAGCUUCAAGACGUAACACAGACUCCAACUCACAUACAGACUCACUGACUGACUAAUGAGCUGACAUGCUUUAAUCACUUAUAUAGAUGGCACUAGGUCAUUGCCAUAGCAACUGGCUUGGCUGACCAUGCACCUGUUGGCUUAUCUCAUACAUGGGGCAAUGUGUGCUCAUGCCCAGUUCCCCCAACAGAAUCUGAUAAGAAUCAAACAAAAACAAGGUGCCCUUAGUGGCAUUUCAAAUAUAACUUGAAGAGGUACAGUCUUCAUUCAGGGUGUAUUCUAUCUCAGGUUUCCUGGAGGAUUUAUUUAUUUUAAAAAACACAGGCCCUUUACAAGGGAAAGGUACUCUGCCCGAGCUCAGAGGCACCAUGCCCUUAGGUCCCUGGGGGAGAAAAUCUUUGUGCCAGAAGUUCUGGAACCAACUGUUGGCAAAUGUGUCUUGGAGCUGAAUUUGAAAAGACUUUGGCCAAAUGUUUGUGAUGAAAAGGGCUCUGAAACUGUAGCCAUUUGCUUUUCAAAUGCCAAGCUAUUUCUGACUAAUUGGAUUAAAAUCCAUUUUAUUGAAAGAUGUCUGAACUAGUCAGGUCCUUAGUGAUACAAAGUGAAGGAAAGUAAAAACACCAAUGAUGAUAGUGAUGCUUUCUAUCAACAUUUCACAUCUGUCCUUAAUGUGAAACAGAUGCAUUCUGGAACAAGCCAUUGUUUUCUACUCGAAUGUGACAAUAUGCUUUGAUGCUUUCUCCUUAAUUGUAACAUCAUGUAAUGAAGACCUCUCACUGUGUGUGUGGUAAAUUGCUGAAGACUUUGGUAAAGGAAAGAAAAAUUGGUAAAAGAAAUUCUCAUGGACCUGUAGUCAUUGUUCUUCUUGAAAAUCAGAUGAUUCCUUUCAAAGCUAUGGAAAUGCCAAAUGGGAAUUUUGGAACAACAUUGACAGACAGCAGAAUACACAGCUAUGCUUUUAUUAUUCUCUGCAAGGUUAAGAACAUAGUAAAAGCCCUGUGGGGUCAGACCAAAGACCUAUCUAAGAGGUUAGUUGGACUCCGACACUCAUCAGCCCCAGCCAGGAUGGCCAGUGAUCAGGAAUUAUGGGGUUUCAGUUCAACCCCAGCUGGAGGGCUGCAGUUUCCCUGACUCUUGCCUAUCUAGUUCAGCAAAUUGUUUUCCACCCCUGGAGCUUUCAUGAGAAUGUGAAUACAAAUGAAUAAUCAAGAGAACAUUAUUCUUGUACGGUAGUAGUGUCACCACUGUAGCAGAGUUUGUAUGGGGGUAGUGUCCAAAGAAGGAAGGCCCCCCCCCCAAGCAGGCAGAAGUGUGGAUCAUUAUGUUGCCAUGCAGAAAAGGGAGAAACAGGUGUAUUGUGGACCCACGUUCAGUGCUGGAUUUACAUAUAACCUAAACAAGCUAUAGCUUAGGGCCCCACUCUCUUGGGGGGCCCCCAAAAAUUUAAAGGAAAAAAAAACUGGAUGUACAUUUCCAAAAUAUAAUACAAAAAACAAAUGAAAUAAAACCUACAUACAGCAACAGCGUUUUGUGUGGUGUAGGCUCCUAUAUGUUACGUGCAAAUGGCUUUAGAUACCCGUUAGGUCCAUAAAUUACCACAUAGCAUAUAUUCAACACAAAAAACAGCAACAGUUUGUUGUUGACAAAGGACAGCUGGACAUAUAAAGGGCCCCAUUACCUUCAUUAGCUUAGGGCCUCAUCAAACCUAAAUCCAGCCCUGCCCACAUUACAGAGGACAGUCCUCAUUUUGAAGAGGUAUUUUAUUUGAAAGGCUGUCCAGUUCAAGCCUAACUUGAUAUAUAAGGAACUCUAAAGAGGCAGUAGACUUAGCAGGUAUACAUGUACUGUAUCCUGGUUACAGUCUUCUCCACUAUGGAGAAAUGUAUUACGUUUCAAUUAUUCUAUUCUAUACUACUAUUACAGCAGGCAUAGGCAAACUCAGCCCUCCAGAUGUUUUGAGACUACAGUUCUCAUCAUCCCUGACCACUGGUCCUGUUAGCAAGGGAUGAUGGGAGUUGUAGUCCCAAAAUAUAUGGAGGGCUGAGUUUGUCUAUGCCUGUAUUACAGCAAUUCUUUUUAAACUUUCACCUUAUACCUAUUGGUUAGCAUGCUAAGAUUCUGUGCAAGUGUGUGUGUCCUCUGUUUCAGCAGAUGCCUAAACAGUCACCCUACACUUUAUGCUCACUUACCGCUGUAGAAUUCCACUAGAUUAGAACUAGGAAGACUGCAGAUUUGUUCGAUCUAAUCUGUUGUGGGUUUUUUGAAAUCUUGAACCCCAAGGUGGAGCCAAGUGCAAAAUGGUAGCUCAGGUGCAUAGCAGGAAAGGAGCAGGGUGUCUCUGAGCAUAAUAUUAGCCUACAAAUUUGUUUCCACUGUCAGAACUGAGACAAAAAAUCCACUCCCCUGGUUUCUUCAUUUCUGGUAUCUUCUUCAUUUAGGAGGAGAGAGGAACACUUUUAGUUGUUUCUGUGGUUAGGGAGUCAGAAAACGUUGUUGAUCUUCCACAAAUCACUCAGAGAUCUACUAGUAGAUCGGGACUAGAAGAACCCAAUUUUCCUUCUACCUAUCCCUACACAAUAUAUCUAAACUGUGCAAAAUCCUUGCAAAAACAUAUGCAUGCAAAAUCCUUCUUUCUUGUGCCCUAAAUGGAUUAGGAUUGUUCAAAACAUGGCAGGAGCAGCAGAAGCAAUGAUGGCGGCAGCAGCAGUGCUUUAACAGCAGAAUAGCAGGCAGGUAUGCAGCGGUGGCAGCCCCAGCAGACUGAAAGUGACACUUUUAGGGCCACACUUCAGGGCAGAGGUUUGGGUCCUGCAGCCUGGGGCCCUGAAUAAAUGUCAGAGAGUGAGUGAUGCAUGAUGGGGGAAUGUUUUAAAUGUGUGUGUAGAUGUAGUCUGUCUGUGGCAGAAGCAGUGUGGGAGAGAGAGUGAGAAAAGAGAAAUAUAGAUGUAGUCCUUUUAAGUUUUGCAGUAAUUUAUGUUUGAACUUGUGGUCCUAAAUUACUUCUGAAAAAUUAAUCAUGAGCGGGAGGGAACCUUGGUGGGAAAGUGUGCAAAGUCUUCACUCUGUGUGUGUAUCCUUGCCAGUAAACAGCUUUCUUAGGACAGGACAGCCAACAGGCACUUGUCUGAAAGCCCAGACUCCUUCCAAUUCCACAGCUCUUUCACUGCCAAACAUUUGGUGGUGGGGAAUAGACUGCUACUCUCUCCCUCUAGAUGCUUCUUAAUAGUUUCUGGGGUUGUUAAAAUUUCAUAUCAAUACAUUUGUAAAUAAAAAGAAACAUUUUGCAAUAACUUUUUUUUUUAAUUCGAGAAGUUCACACAGGCAACCAUUAAACAUUUCAUAAUCUCCCAACACUGUUUAUGCUUCUCAUUCCUCACUUGUCAUCCGAAGACUUGUUCACACAUUCGCACAGAGUAUUCUUAUCUUGUGGUAAGCUUCGCUGUGGUUUCCUCUCUCCCUCUCAUGCUAAGUAAAGACCAGAUGUUCUAUGUUUUUGGUGCUGCUUGGGAAGCCUUCCAUUACCUUUUCCCCCUGCUCACUUUGCCAGCAUCUUUUGGGAUGAGAUGAUGAGAGGCAUCUUAUAGGUCAAAAAUCUUAGCUCAUGCUCCUCUUCUCAACAAACCACAAGCACCUUCUCUCUCUCUCUCUCUCUCUCUCUCUCUCACACACACACACACACACACACAAGAUUGCACAGUUUCUAAAAAAAGAUCCAGUUCUGGAGUUGCAAUAUGAUGUAGCUAUGGAUUUUCAAAACAAAUGGCAAGCGUUUUCAGGCUGAGGUCUGCAUUCCCACAUGGGCAACCUUCAGUUCACAACAUGCCAGAGUGGGUGAGAUCAGAUGGGCGCAAGUGUGUAAAUCAAAGCCAAGAAUGAGCAGAGCAACAUUGAUUCUUAUGCUUGUCAAGACAUUGGUACAGACAACAACCAUUUUAGGUGUGUCCAAUAUGUGCGCCACUGCGCACGCACGCAUCGGCCGAGCUUGGAAGUGACACCAAAAUGUCACAAAAUGCCUGUAAUAUCAUAUAAGUCCCUCUACAGAUCAGGACGAGAAUGCUUGGGAGGCUGACUUAUCCUUUAUGCACCUGAUAGAUCACUGUGGUCUAUGAGAGAGUUUCUCUUGCAAGUUCUGAAGAUCUCAGAGCCUGCACCACAGUAACUCAGAGCAGGGUUUUUGUUUUUUUAAUGUCUAUUGGAAUAGCAUUUCUGUUGAGGUACAACAAGUGUUCACUAUCUGCACAUUCAGAAAAUGGUUGAAGGCUUUUUUUGUUCCAGCUUUCCCAGCUGCUUGAAUGGGUCUUUACCACAAGGUUUUUUUUAAAAAAAAAUUCUUGUUUGUAAGUCAUCUUGAUGCAGUGGUCCGGAAGGCAAUUUAUAAACUAAUUGUAAUAAUAAUAAUAAUUAAUAAUAAAUAAUAUAGUUGGCUACAUUCCAACCAGAUGAAAGUCAGAUGCUUCUAAUGUACAUGUUUCCCUCCGUACAGGUAAGCGAGAAGCAUUAAUAGAGUUUAAGGAUACAAAAAGCACCUGAGGGGGAGAUUUUAAGCACACUCAUCUAAAAGCAGCUUCAGAUGUGGAUGGACUCUAACUCAACUCCCAAAGUCCCGCAUCUUGGGCCAUAUUAGUAGGGAGUCAGAGGAUCUGGAGACUCGCAGGUCCCUACCCCUUGGCCUAGAACCUCAAUUUUGAUUGGGAGCCCUGCUUGAAUAGGGUUCCAAAUCGUGUGGCGAAUUCUAAGAACAUCCAGAUAAUUGUGAUGAAAAUCUCCUUUCAGGCCUUCCUCCCAAUGCAGAAUAGUCUGAAGGGAGCCAGCCUGUUUGAGAGGGUGGGGCCUGCUGUAUCACCACUCUCAAUUUUCACUAAGCCCACACACAUUUGCUCCAAAUGCUUUAUAGGUAUAUGUCAGUGGGAAUACCAGUAUACUAUUUUAGGAUACUACUCAACUUUAAAAAACAAACAAAACCCAACUAAUACAUCAGGGAGAGGGUUAAGCACAACAUAUCUCUCUGAUGCACAAACUGAACCUUUUUUUAAAGAGGCAGUAGAACAUUCCAAUACAUGACACACAUGGACUCCACUGUAGCCUGAUGUGGAAUUUUAAUACUUCAGCCAACUUCUUCAUUCCGCAUAAUCUGUCCUCUGGCUCUAGUCUCUGAAAUCUGUGCAUGUCUUGCAGAAGGACUAACUCAUUCCAGGCACCUAUUUAAAUAAUUGUUUUAUGUAUGUUUGUAAUAUAUAUAUAUAGAGAGAGAGAGAGAGUAUAUGUCUGUCAUCAGUAAUGGUCUGAAUGAGGGUGAACAAAUUGAAACUCAAUCCAGACAAGAAAGAGGUGCUCUGAAUCAGUCGAAAGGCAGAACAGGCAGUAGAGAUUCAUCUUCUGCUGGAGUGAGAUAAUACCUACUAAAAUGAAUGGACCUCAGUUAGUCAUGCUUUUCACGUAUUUUUUGCCCUAUAAGACGCACCAGACCAUAAGACGCACCUAGUUUUUGGAGGAGGAAAACAAGAAAAAAAAUAUUCUGACUCUCAGAAGCCAGAACAGCAAGAGGGAUCACUACGCAGUGAAAGCAGCAAUCCCUCUUGCUGUUCUGGCUUCUGGGAUAGCUGCGCAGCCUGCAUUCGCUCCAUAAGACGCACACACAUUUCCCCUUACUUUUUAGGAGGGAAAAAGUGAGUCUUAUAGAGCAAAAAAUACGGUAAUUUAAAUAGGUCUGCUCUGAGUAGGACUAGCAUUAGAUUUAACCCAUUCGGAAGUGGGAGGAAUUCAACAUAGCACCGUUCCAUCAGAGCAAGUGUGCUAUUCUGAGGGUUCCCCCAGCCCCUCUGACCUAUUUCCCUGGGGCGGGGGGAGACAGGAUGACAUUGUACUAGGAGAAGUCCUGCAUGAUCUUUUGCUUGUGGGACUAUUCAGCUGAAUCCCAUCCACUGUGUCCUUCCCAUGAUGCGAAUGGAGAAAAGGAGAAAAGGUACAAGGAAUGCUAUCUCUAAGUUUGAUUUUAAGAAAAGGUUAAUAUUAGUUCAAGCUCAACUGCAAACAAGAAAGAUUCAAAACUCAUAAUAUCAAUGCGUAGUCAUCAAUCAAACUGAUAUGUGUCUGUCUCUUAGCAGCAAUGACAGGAAAUAAAUCAAUAACUGAUAAAAGACUGCCUUUUCCUAAACCUUGGCUAAAUCUUUUGACAGUUGCUUUAUUUUAAUCGAAGCCAGAAAAUCAUAACAUAGUGAUAAAAACAGUUGAACAUUAUUAAAAGCAUUGCAACUAAGAUGAAAGAAAAAAACAUAUAAAAAUUAAUCUAUCCUGACAAUCAGCAUAUGAUCUAGUGAAAACAGAGACAUGAUUCACUCCAGGAAUGAAAUAGUAGGGCAACCCUUAAACUACCACUGAUUGGUUUUUGCUGUUAUUAUUACUGUUGUUAUUAUUAUUUGGGUGUGCCAUUCUUCCCAACCAGGGAUGCAUGUGGGAUUUGGUUUGUUCAUAUUGCAUUAUGAGCUGACCUAAUCCAAACUUUCUGGACUAGUAUACAGAUCAAAAGUGGGACGCGGGUGGCGCUGUGGGUAAAACCUCAGCGCCUAGGACUUGCCGAUUGCAUGGUCGGCGGUUUGAAUCCCCGCGGCGGGGUGCGCUCCCGUCGUUCGGUCCCAGCGCCUGCCAACCUAGCAGUUCGAAAGCACCCCCGGGUGCAAGUAGAUAAAUAGGGACUGCUUACCAGCGGGAAGGUAAACGGCGUUCUGUGUGCUGCGCUGGCUCGCCAGAUGCAGCUUGUCACGCUGGCCACGUGACCCGGAAGUGUCUGUGGACAGCACUGGCUCUCGGCCUAUAGAGUGAGAUGAGCGCACAACCCUAGAGUCUGUCAAGACUGGUGCGUACGGGCAGGGGUACCUUUACCUUUUAUACAGAUCAAAACAUCCCUGUCCAUCAGACCUUGCUCUUCUCUGAAUAUUACAUACUAAUAAUGUGGAAACAGACUUAAUAAUGAACACAUGCAAAAGUGGCGCAAUCCGGAAUUAUCUUGAUCUGACAAUUCCUAUUCUGAACACACUAAUCUGGGAAUUAUACAAUGCAAAUGAUAUGACAACAGUUGUGGUGCAUAAAACUCACUACUUUAGAAUUUCCUUUGAUAUCUGGAUCUCAUAAUUGAAAACUGGGUACUCACAACAUCUCUUACAGCCUGGUCCUUUUCAUGUUUCCUGAGGGUGUAAGUCUCACUAAAUUCACCUCCUCUCAAAUGUGCAUAUGAUGGCUGUCUUGGGCAUUUGCUCAUUGUGCUUUAUCCAAUACCUGUUUUGUCCUACGUAGAGAGUAGGGACGGGUGAAUUUGUCAAUUUCAGUUUUUUCUCCUUUUCUCAUUUUUCCAAAUGUCAUUCAGUUCUCCACAUUUCUGUGUCAGUUUGAGAUUUUUAAAAAUCUCAUAAAAACCAAUCAACAUUUUAGUGCAAACCUUUCCUAACAGCCACAUUUUAAAGAAAUUUUGCCUAACCUAUACAUUUUCACAAAGCAAAUACCCACUAAUAUAAUGCAUUUUGUGUAUUACUUUCAAAAAGACAUGCACAUUUUAUGCACAUUUCCCCUAACAUACCCAUUUUUGUACGCAUUAUUAGGUGGAGGACUGCAUCACCAAAUUUUGCGAAUUGUGAUUUUCAAAGGACAGGAGUAUUUUUGUUUGCAUAUCAUUCUAGGAAGUGUGGAUUAGGUAGGUUCGCCUUAGCAUAUGGACUGUAUUGAACUGUAUUGAAUUUCUCCUCCAUCCAUAGUAAAGAGCACUGUUUUUUUCCAUGCUGACUGCUGGACUGUUUUGCUAAACCAUUUGGGAACUGAAGUUGUUCUGUGUUGAUAGGCGCAUUUGAGUGUGUAUAUAUGUUCUGUUUUCAUAAAAGCACUGCAGAUCUUACAAGAAUAACAGAACCUGCCUAGGAUGCCAGGAAUGGUACCAGGACUGGUUAUUGCCCCUGUCAUAAGAUGAGACUCAAAUUUGUCAUAACUUCUGGUUCUGAGCAACUAACGCAUUGGAAUUUAUUAAAGUCCCCAAACAGAGGAGAGAUGAAACUUGUCAUAGUGACUCUUUCUCACAGAGUCAUGUGCUUGUUUAAAACUGUGCAUUGCAAUGAUUUCAGGUCCAUACACAUUAAUUGGGUUAACUUCUGGCACGCAUUUGCUAUCCCCAGAUGACCCUUGACACGUUCAUACAUUUCAUUCAGGAAAUAAUACAUGGCAGAAAGAACAGACAAAGCAGAUGUAUUGCUGGUUUUGAUAUUUACAUUCAGCUUUGAAAUGGAAAUAAAGCCUAACUGAAGUAAAAAAACAAAACAAAACAUAGCAAACCCCCCCCCCCAAAGAAAGUCAACAGCAUUUUUAUUUCCAUUAUCAUGUUUUAAAGGCCUGGGUAUUUGAAAAGAAAUGAAACAAGAAUUCAGUGAUGCUAGAAAGACUCACAUUAAUCAAAUAAAGAUUGGAACUACACUCCGGAAAGCCAAACCCAAUUAUUAACAAAUUGCACAAUUCCUCCUGAUUCUACUCAUAUGUUGAACUGAACUUUCUCGCUCCUGUAACUUCAGAAUUUAUCAGUAUCUGCUGCUGCUGCUGCUGCUGCUGCUGCUGUUGUUGUUGUUGUUGUUGUUGUUGUUGUGAUAUGCUUCCUUUCUCCCUCCUCUGAAAAUGGUUCGGUGUGGUCCCCCAGAUGUUGCAGGACUACAAUUCCCAUUACCCCCUGACUAUUGGCAAUGCUGACUGGGAUCUGGUGUCUAAUAAACAUCUGGAGGGCCACAGGUUCCCCAUUCUUGAUAUAAGGCUACAUUUGGCCCCCAGGGCCAAAGGUUCCCCAUCCCUUAUCUAGGAGGACUGAGGGACUGAAAGCAUGGGAUAUCAUGGAGUGACUGAAUAUAUAUUUACCUGCUGGAACUCAGGUGGCAGAAAAGCAUGUGCAUAAGUAAAUAUAAAAUAAGUAGCACGUAGUUCUAUGCCAAUAUCUCCAAUCUUCUGGUGUUUAGACAGCACAGUGGCUUGGGCAAGCUAAUUCUCCAUUUCGGUCUGGUUUUUGUUUAAAGCACUUCAUAACCACAGCCAUAAUCCAGGUUAAAUGUGACAUUAAUCAAGGAAUGGAUUAAGGCCACGAACAAGACUGAAGCUUACUGGCUUUAGUGGAGCUUUCCAUUUGGCCACACACACUUUGUUCUUAAGAGAGCCUGGUGCACUCUCAGUUUUAUAGCAGUCGCUGAAUUAGAUCUCGUCCUCUCCAAGUAAUGGGGAACCAAGCUGUUUUCAAAAUGGUGGGACUCGUAAAUAAAUAGGAAGCUGUCAUGUGCAGGUGUUCUAGAACGGUGCAAUCCUGUGCAUGCCUACUCAAAAGUAAUUCCCACUGAGCUCAAUGGGUCUUACUCCCAGCCAAGAGCAUGCAGGACAGCAGCCCAAGGGCACAGUGUUAUGUGUGUUUCUCUGAGAGUAAGUCCACUGCAUGCUAUGGAGCUUGCUUACUUCCUUGCAGAUGCAUAUACAGGCAUUGCAGCCUAAGGAAACACCAUUUUCCUGCUGGAUCAGGAACCCUAUUUGCAAACGUGUGCUUUGCACAUGAUUCCCUUAACUGGGCUUCUAAAACAACAACAACAACGUCUCUCCCAGGUUGCCAGUAUUUUGCAAGAUGAAUUCAAUUCCAUACCAGAAAUUUAGCUUUCUGCUGUUGUAUGUUAAAGUGCUUUGUCACAACAAAUCCUUUUUUCAAAAAAAGUGGUUUUUUGUGGUUAGGAAUGUCAUAGGGAAAUACACUGAAAAAUGUGGAAUGAAGAAUGGAUUAACAGGAAGACAUAAAAACACCAUGCAAGCAAAUCAGAAUUUAUAUACUCGUUAUUGUAUAAACUUCCUACAAACAAAUCAGAACAAAUGCUCAUUAAAGAACCAGCAUAGACUAACCACUGCAUAAGCUUUGUGUAAGCAAAUCAGGAUAAAAGGUUCAAUGAACAGGUCUUAUGGAGAAGUCCUCCAAGACAUUGCAAUACCAUGAGGAGGUAGUCUGAAGCUACCUCGAAAUAACAAAAACUAAAAAGUUCUCUGCUCCCCAUUUUAUUUCUGGCAUUAAAAAAAUUGCAGCAGGUCUCCAAAGCAUGGACAAGAUUUGUUCAGAAAUACAACAUUUUAAAGGCAGUCCUCUUUGCAUAAUAUUUGUGAAUAAUUCAGAGCUUGGAAAGUUCAUUUUAAAAAAGGACUAGUUGUAAUUCAGCACAUCCCAAAAUGAAUCAGUUCCAGUUCAUGGCCAUCCCUUUACAAGAUGAACUAGUUCGGUUCAUGUUCAGUUCACAGUUCAAUUCCAGUUCAUUUUUCCAGCAUUCAGAAUUUUACAAGCUGCUUUGCCAAAGUAUAGAAUAUACUUAAGGAGAUUAAGAAAACAUCUAAAUAUUGGGAAGUGAAUUGUUAAUUUAUUGUUCAGUAUUUUAGUUUCAUUUAUAGUUUAUUUUAUUUUAUUAUUAUAAUUGUUUUUAUUUAUUUAUCCCAACAAUUAUGAUCUUUAAAGGCCCAAAGAGUCUAAAGAAUUAAAAAAAAACCUUAAUAGAAUUAACUAACUUUAAUUCUAUAAUAAGAAUUAAUCAGCAGAAGAUGCAGCUCUUUACACUACCUUUUAACACUUGAGGAAUAUAUUUUUAGGACCCAACUUAUUUUUUGUGAUUGUAAGUUGCCUUAGAAGUUUUAUUAUUGUGUUUUAAUAUCGUAACUUCCCCCUGCCGGGACCUCAGGGUGCAGGGUUUGUAACUUGAAGAUGAUUUAGAAAUUGUUCAUCUACCCCAAAAUGAACAUUUCACCCAGCAAUUAGGAGAACUGCUUUCAGGAACAGCUCUGAGGUUUUUGAACCAAUUCAGUGAACUUUGUUAAACCAAACCAAUUAAUUCCAAGCAUUGGGAUAACUGCAAGACUCAAUUAUCAAAAAUACAAAUAAAUAAAAAAUCACCUCUAAAACUCCCCCACUGAUUGCAGAAUUAUUUUCCCUCCUCUCAUAAAGGAGCAAUAACCAAGUGGGAAAAAACCUCUAUGAAGUCAUCUUGCAGAUCAAUGACUUGCUAUCUACGGUCUAACAGAUGUGUUAUGAUGACUUUAUCUCUGCAAAGCAUAAUUUUUGGAGCCUGAGGAAGGGUCGGGCCUCCCAAAGAGAAAACAAGCAAAUGUGGUAGAAGAGUUCAAAAACUGUUCAUGGAAAAAUAAUGAUUAUACCUGUAGGGCAAAUUGGAGACUUUGUUGAGUCUUGGUCUCCAACUCCCAUUUUACAGUUAACCUGAACCCCAGACUCUUAGAAUGCUGGGAACUCGAAAGUUUAACAUAAUUUCCUCUUUGCAUUGUUUGUAUAUCCAUUGAUAUAAAUCCCAUGGGAAGUGACUCAAUACCAUUAGCAUGAGUCAGUUUGAUUAACAAUAUGUUUCUAAAUUGCUGACACUUUUUUCUUUCCAAACCUUUUCCCACACUCCUGAUCCCGUUGCUAAAACUGAAUAUUGAACAGUGCAAUCCUACACGUUUACUCCGAAAAAUGUCCAGUUAAGUUCAAUAGGACUUACUUCCAAGGUAAGCAUGCAUAGGAUGCUGAAAUCAUUGAAAAUAAAAGGUUUUCCAUUCCUGGUAUGCAUACAUACCUGGAAGUAAGUCUCAUAGAACUUAAUAGUGUUUAUUUCUAAGUAGCGAUUCAGCGGAUCUCACUGCAAGGCUGAAAUCCUGUACCUGCUUAUCUGGGAAUAAGCGCAGUUGAGAAUUAUGGUUACUCAGCUUGGCCUACCUCGCAGGUGUGAUAAGAACACAAGGAAACUCUUAUGCACUGCACACGGACCUCCUUGUAAGAUGGGCGAGAUCCUAGUGAAAUUGACAGACAAGCUGGCUAGCAGCAGCAGCAGCAUAAACCUGUCUAAUCCCCUUUAAAGUCAUAUUAUGUUUUAAAGCUGUCGUUCGGUUGCUUUAGACGGUGGAAUGCUUUUCCAAGUGAAUAGCUUUUUGAGAUCCCCUGCCCCCUCAAAGAGCUCCAUUUCCUAGAGUUCUCUGGGGAAAAGGUUGAUUGUUAAAGCACUCUGGGAGGUCAAUAGGGGUCUCCUAACAACUCUCAGCGCCCUUAACAAAUUUCAUUUCCCAGGAUUCUUUGGGGGAAGCCAUGGUGGUUUAAAGUGGUAAAAUACUGCUGUAAAUGUAUAGCGCGGACGUGACUGUGAUAUUGCAGGAAACCUUGUUCAGCCUGAGGGCUCUAUUACUCAGGGAAAGGGGGAUUAUUGGGUUGUUCUUGGUUUUGGUUUUAUUAUGCAUUUUGUGUUUUUAUGUUGUGAACCACCCUGAGACCUGCUACUAUAGGGCAGUAUACAAAUUUAAAUAAGAAUAUGAAUAAUAAUAAGAAGAAGAAUGCCCUCAUGGAGCCACAUAUCAGGAGUAGGGCAGUAUACAAAUUUAAAUAAGAAUAAGAAUAAGAAUGCCCUCUUGAGCCACAUAUCAGGAGUAGGUGUAGUAAAAGUGGAUCUGACCAGACACAAGGUAUUAAAAAUGUGGUCUCUGUGGUAAAUAAUUCUCAUCCCUUCUUAUGUGUAGGGAUUGUAAGGCUUUGUGAGGUAUCACUUGUAGAUUUUUGUGAUACUAAAGAGAAAUCAAAUGGAGUAGCUGUCGAAUUAACUGUAAAGCCAAACCUUCAAUACUUACGCUGAAUUUCCAUUAUUCUUAUUGAAGGAAUUGUUGCUCCAAAGCUCAAGGAAAGGAAGAAAGAAAGAAAAACCCUCUUGCUUUUUGACACCUUCCUUGCAAAGCUUCUUUGUUUCCAUGGAGAAGUUUCAUGCAAAGCUGCUUUUUGUCAGUAGUUGGCACCUCUAAUUAUAGCUGACAGGAUACUCCCAAAUUUGACAAGGUUUUUUUUCUUUUCUUCCACCUUUAGCUUUCAAAUGCAGUCAUGUGUUUCCAGAGGAACCUAGGGAGGGAUCCUGAUCUCUUAACCUCCUUUUAAAAUUCUUCAUUGUUCAACAGUAAUGUGGGGGAAUACUCCUAAAUUCUUGAGCGAAAAUUAAGUUUGACGCAAAAUCAGCUCCGUACAUUCUAGGUGAGAAUUUAUUUCUUGGGCUCUCAAGCAGACAAUGGCUGAGGGAAAUCAAGAAAUCUUAACAGUGUUUUCAUUCGCAGUCCUAGGAAACGUAUCACGUAUCUUUCUCUCUUGCACUUUCGUGUUACACAUGAAUGCUGUUAAAGCAAGAGAGACUUUGGAAGGAAGAAAAAAGUAUACAGCUACUGCAUAUUUUACAAGUGCCUUAAUGACCAAAUUGUCUUUUGCAGAUCUAAAACUAAAGCCCCAAUUAAGACAAUACACCUUGGUUCGGACACCGUGUGGCAGAGGAAGCCUCUCCAGCACCCGGGGUGGGACUGCGCAUGUGCGGCAGCCCAUACGGAUAUUGUGCAUGCGCCCUCGGCUGCUCUACAGCUGGGGGGAGAGGCAGCGGGCCAUCUUGUCACCCCCCCAGGGAGGCACUAGGGGCGUCCCGUCCCCCUCACCCCUGCUUUCGUACGCCACUGGUUCUCAGUCCAAGAAACCGUGGUUUGCUGGAGCAGGCAUAAUAAUAAUAAUGGUAAUAAAAUUUUAUUCAUAUCCUGCCCUCCCCAGCCGAAGCCGGGCUCAGAGCAGCUAACAACAAUAAAAGUAACAUAGUUUACAUAGAAUCACAAUUGAUUAAUUAAAAUACAUACUAAAAACAAUUCAUUCUAAAAUCAAUUCAGAAUUAAAGUAAUGGCAACCAUUGGGCUAGAGUUCUAUGAGGAUUACCAAAGGAGGGGGUCAGACUGUGCCUUGGCCAAAGGCCUGGUGGAACAGCUCUGUCUUGCAGGCCCUGCGGAAAGAUGUCAAGUCCCGCAGGGCCCUAGUCUCUUGUGACAGAGCGUUCCACCAGAUCGGGGCCACGGCUGAAAAAGCCCUGGCUCUGGUUGAGGCCAGCCUAACCUCCCUGUGGCCCGGGAUCACCAAUAUGUUUUUGUUUGAAGACCGUAAGGUCCUCCGUGGGACAUACCAGGAGAGGCGGUCCCAUAGGUAUGAGGGUCCUAGGCCGUAUAGGGCUUUAAAGGUUUAAACCAGCACCUUAAACCUCAAAUGUUUCUCCCUUCCUAUUCUCCUUCCCACCUCCUUUCACAUAUCCAGCUUCAGAGGAGACUUUCUGGUUUGUUAAACCAUUCCCAUGAAGUCAAAACCAGUUUCAUUCUUGUUUGGAAAAUGAGCUUGUGAGGAGUGCUUAAAUGACAAGUUCCUUCUUCAGGCCUCAGGCGAAACCACAAAAGCCCUAUUCAGGGGAAGGAGUGGGGAGGCACAUAUGCAAGGCCUGCCCUCCAUGUUCCAGCACACACUGGCUCCAAUGCAGACCUUUUCAAGUCCACUGCAAGAGUCUAAAGGGGGAUUCCAAUAACCACUGGUUUCAAAACCGCACUGAUUUUUUCAUUAGAAUUCCUGAGCAGCAUCAACUACAAGGUUGUCAGUAUAAUAAUUAUUCAUUUUACUUAUUCUUAUAUUGAUAUCUGAGCUUCUCUUGAGAGGGAGUUCUGCAGCCAGUGACAAGGCCCUCCUUCUGGUGGUAAACUAACCCAGGGCAGAUCUACACUUGCAGUUUAUAACAUUAACAAUGCAUUAUUACAAUGUGACACGGGAGGGCCACCAGCAGAGGGGAAAUGCAUGUUAAACGUUAUAGAACGUUGCAUCUAAUAUUGUUCUCAUAACGUUUUAAAGAUUGCUGUAGAUCCAGCUUUAGACUUCAAUGUAGCAGGAAUAUUGAAAGAGGGACUCAGCUCAUAGCUGUUUUGAUUAUUAUAUUUGGGCCAUUUUUUAAAAAAGUCUGUUUUUAUCACUAUAUAUUAAUGAAUAUUUCAUAAUAUUAGGUUAACAGCUUAGAAGUUUUUUUUUAAUUAAGUGGUGUAUAAAUAUUGCUAAAUACAAUAAUAUAAACCCAGGAAAGGAAUGCUUGAGGAAAUCUAGGCUUUGUGACUUCCAAUAUUCCCUGAUCCGCGUCUCCUGGGCUGAAGUGAAGAGAGAAACUUGGGCACCUGGGCUUCCAGACUUUUCCAAUUCAGUUCUCAGCUCAAACAAAAGCAUUAUUUUAACAAGCAUAUUUUGAUGGGAAAUAGCUUUGGAAAUGCAUGUUUUGAAGCUUUUACUGGUUUUUUUUUUAUUAUUCCAGCAUAUAGCAUCAUGUUCUAUAUUGCCUUGGAUCACUGCUGUGUUUCAUUGUUUUGUGGAUUUUUAUUGCCUUAAAUUGUUUAAUAUGUUUUAUUCCUCUGCACAGCAACGUAGGAUGCAACAUGAACGGUGAUAUAAAAAAGGUCUUAAUAAAUAAAUAAACAAACGCUAUCAUCCUAUUUAAACUCAGCUUGUGGAUUUAGCAGCAGUUCUUCUGACAGAAGGCAUUUGCAAUUCCUACAGUUCUAUUAAAAAAAAACCAGGAGAGAAAAAGGCCCGGUAACAAAUUUGCAGCCCGUGCAGGUAUCUGAACAGAGGUGUAAAUAUGUUGGCAGGAUCUUGCUCUUGUCAGAAUACUUUUGCUAACUGCAGUUUCCGGACCAAGCGCAAAGUUGUGGUGUGUGCUUUGGUUGUGGUGUGUGUAGUGCCUGUGACAGUGCCCACAGUUUCCAAAUGUGCCCACAGGUCUAAAAAGGUUGGCGACACCUGUACAUGUAAAUAUAGCAGUAAAUGAUCACACCAGGGAAAAUGUGUUAGGUGCAGAUUAAAUACUGCAAGCCGUUGGUGACCAAAAAGGCAUUCCAAAACUGCAUAUAUUCUCUAGUCUGGCAUACCUAUAGAAAAGGCCUGUCAACACAAACCUGAGGUAUGGCUGGUUUGAAGCUUAUUAAUUUAAUAUGAACAACUUGUGAGGUGAUGUGUCAUGAGGAAUGCCAAGGCAAAGAAAAUUAAUAUUCUUUCCAUCUAGACUUUUCUGUUAGAUCACUUUCUGUUUAAGCUUGUUUUCCGUCAGGAUCCUGAGGCAUUGCUUGACUUUCUCAAAUACGUUUCCCUUGUAUCCUUUGAACAAUUCCGCCAUUGUUCGCCCGCUUGUUGUAUAUUAUUCUAGCACAUUUCAAAAUCGCAAAUCAAAAGCCUAUCAACAUGCAUUAUGGAGAUCCUCAAUAUUAUGGGCGGGUUUGUUUGAAAUGGCUUUAUCCUAAUUACAAAUCUCUCUACAGUGGCUUUAUUAAAAGGACAAGUUUCACAUGUAAACUUACUCCCUUGCACGGUGGUCUUGUCAUAUUUUUAUAUAUCUAAUAAUACUUUGCCUGAAUUUCCUUCCUGGCAUCACACAUGCUUGAACAGGGAGGGGGAAGAAGGAGAGUAUGUUGGCAUUCAAUGCUCCACCAUCUUAGUGUGUUCCAAUAAGCUUGCCAAUAUGGGCCAUAUAUUUUUUUGCCGCACUUUAUUAAGGCAGUGUCAGGUGCUAGCCUCUAGGAACACACCUGCCUCAUGCCAGCUCACACCACUGAUUCCUCCAGCUCAAUGUUGUCUCUGCGAACUGGCAGAAACUCUUUGGGAUUUUGGAGAGGGGUCUCUCUCAUCCCUCUGUGGAGAUGCCAGGGAUUGGAGACCCAGGGUCUUCUUAUGCAAAGUGUUAAGUUGUGGGUGAACAUAUCAGACGACACAGCGAUUCUUCAAACAGCUCUUGUUUAUUCACAGGCCAGAACAGAACUGAACUGAAGGGUUCAGCCAGCCUGCUUAUAUAAAGCUCCACUACAACGCAACAUAUAGAACUCCAUACAACGCAACUGUAACAACUUUCUGUAACUAUAUAGAACUCCACUACAACGCAACUGUAACAACUUUCUGCAACUAUCCAAUCACUGAACGUCACUUUCAAUCCCUUACCUGCAUAUGUGGACCUGAGUGAAAACUAUCUACAGUAUCCCCCUGCUGGCCCAGGGUGAGAACUUCAGUACAUACCGUAACACAAAGCAAAUACUCUACUAAUGGCCCGUUCCCAUGAGCACAUGGCAUGAUUGCCCAAAGUGCAAGAAUUAUCUUUUGGGUAUGAGGAGUGCAGGUCUGAGUAUGAGACCCCUUGUCCUCUUGCAUAUUUUCAUAAAAGGAUUUAUCUAAUUUAUAUGGGAACCCCUAGCUGCUAGUUAGGCAAGCUUCCUCGCUACCUAUAUUGCUUUAGACACCUGUUGAAAACCAUUUAAAAAAAAAAAAAUAUUCAGCAAGGCUAGCCACACACCCAAUUUACUUACCUAUAUUUGUUUUUAAAGUUUUACUGCUUUGAUCUCUUUUAAAGAUAAUUAUUUUAUGUGUAUAGUUCUGGGGAGCUUAGAUGGGUUUUAAGUAAAGUUCACCAUUUAGAGAGAUCUUUGAUUAAGCAGUUUAUAAAGGAGAUAUAUUUGUCAUGUUACAGUGAUAGCAAAAAGAGCUGUUUCUUAAGAUAUGUAAGCAUGAGGCUGGGUGCACAUCACACAUUUACAGCACAUCACUCCCAAAGAUUCCUGGGAACUGCUGUUUGUUAAGGGUGUUGGGAUUGUAGGUCUGUGAGAAGUAAACAACCCCCCCCCCCAGUCUUCUUGAGGUGGAUGCAGCCUCAGUGAGACUAAUAGGAAGAAACUGGCGCAAGGGUUCAUUCUUUUAAAUGCAAAUACUCCUCUCUCCUUCCCCAAAGCCUCACUGAUGAAUGUGAAUUGCAUACUUUUACAUCAGGAUGCGGGUGGCUCUGUGGUCUAAACCACUGAGCCUCUUGGGCUUGCCAAUCAUAAGACUGGCAGUUUGAAUCUGUGCAACAGGGUCAGCUCCUGCUGCUCUGUCCCAGCUCCUGCCAACCUAGCAGUUUGAAAGCAUACCAGUGCAAGUAGAUAAAUAGGUACUGCUGUGGUGGGAAGGUAGACAGUGUUUCCGUGUGCUCUGGCUUUCGUCACGGUGUCCCAUUGUGUCAGAAGCAGUUUAGUCAUGCUGGCCACAUGACCCGGAAAAGCUGUCUGCGGACAAACGCCGGCUCCCUCGACCUGAAAGGGUAGAUGAAUGCUGUGCCCCAUAGUGAAAUUCAACUGCACUUUACUGUCCAGGGGUCCUUUACCUUUACAUACUUUUACUUUCUGCAGGGUUGUUAGGAGACCCCCAUUCACCUCACAGAUAUACAAUUCCCAGAGUUCCCUGGGAAGAGGGAUUGAUUGUUCCACCGCAGUGGGACUUGUAGCUCAAUGAGGAGUAUAGGGGUGCCCUGACGCCUCUCAGCACCCUUAACAAACUCCAGACCCCAGGAUUCUUCAGGAGAAGUCAUGGCUGUAUAAAGGGGUAUGACACUGCUUUAAAUGUACAUUUCAGAUGGGAAUCAGCUGGCGGCAGCGGGGGGGGGGGGGACAGAAUCCCCAUCCCAUACCCUCCAACAUUUCUCCAAUGAAAAAAGGGACGUUCCAUUCCAUAAUAGUAAUUUUACUAUUUAUACCCCUUCACAACUUACUGGGUUGCCCCAGCCACUCUGGGCACCUUCCAGCAUAUUUAAAACAUUAAACAUUUUUUUAAAAAAAUAAUUCCCUAUACGGGAUUGCCUUCAGACGGCUCGGGGGGGUUGGAUAACUCCAUAGCCUCCAACAUUUCUUCAGUGAAAAUAGGGACAUCUAAGGAAACGUGGGACAUUUCGGGAUCAAAUCAGAAACUCAGAAAAGUUCUCUAAAUCAGGGAUGUCCCUAGAAACUAGGGACACUUGGAAGGUCUAUCAUCCCAGGUGUGCAGAGUUGUUUCACAUCCCUUUCUCUUUCAACAGUGACUCACCUGGUGCCUCUGUGACAUAAAUUUAGGUGCCAGGCGACAACAUUCCUCUUCUCACAGGCCUUUGGCUAAUUAAACAAUUCUGUGGCCUUUUAAACUGUGGGGGUAUUAUUUUUGGUUUUUUUUACUAUGGUUAGCUUUUUUGUGUUUUUAUAUUGUAAACCGCCCUGGCUGAAGGGCGGUAUAGAACUUUAAUAAAUAAUAGCAAUCCACAGCGGCACUGCAGCACUUAAUGUUUGCAAGGAAAAGAUGCAUCUUUGGGUUGACUCUGAUGUUACUUACGCCUUUCAGGUACAUGAAGGGAAACAAGGAUGAAAGGCCCGAGAUGCAGUGCUUUGUCCGUACAUGGUUAACUGCUGUGCCAGAAGCAGGCACGAGAGACAAUUAUUUACAACUUGUAUAAUUUAUGUGAUUCCAUUUGCAACACAUGCGGAUUCAUCUUAAACUGAGUAGCAGGGGAGCUGCAUUGAUUUUGAACUCCACAAGCGCUGUCAUGUCAGCACAAAACCCUUGUAAGAAAGUGCUGCUCUGGUCUCUCAGUUUUUUCUCCUAUGCUCAGUGACACAACAUCUGGCCAUAUAAUAUAUACUUGACAUCACGUUGUGUGUGUUUGUGUGUGGAUAAAGCAAUUUUGAUAACAUACGAAUCUACACUCAGUGAAUUAGUUCACUAACAGUGACUCACAAGUGGGUCUGCAGUGGUACCUUGGGUUACAGACAUUUCAGGUUACAGACGCUUCAGGUUACAGACUCCGCUAACCCAAAAAUAGUACCUCAGGUUAAGGACUUUGCUUCAGGAUGAGAACAGAAAUCGUGCGGUGGCGGCAUGGCGGCAGCGGGAGGCCCCAUUAGCUAAAGUGGUGCUUCAGGUUAAGAACAGUUUCAGGUUAAGAAGGGCCCUCCAGAACGAAUUAAGUUCUUAACCCGAGGUACCACUGUAGUGUUAAAGCCAGCCAUGCCUUCUUUCAGGAAACACCAUUCUGCUGUCCCUUUGGCUUUUCCCCUCAUAAGGCAGCCAUUAUUCUGUGUCUAGAAUAAUGCUGGUUUGGAGGAGACAUUUGAAGGAAGUAAGAGAGGUGUUGUCACGUAGGCUGGUGCUCUGGGAUGCCACUGCAAGCCUACAGGGCAGCAAUAGAGAAAUACAUAUUUGGCACAGCACUACCAUAUCCCUUUCUCUUCUCAUAUGCAGAUGCAAAGGAUGGGUGGUGAACCUUAAGCCUGGGAGUCUAAUGUGGCCUUCCAAAUUCCACUAUCUGGCCUUUGGGACUUUCCUUGAUCCACACCUCCUCUCUCCAAGCCCUGCUCCACUCCCCACUCGAGUGCUUUUCCGUGGUUGGAGAUAACCUUAAGCUGUAUUAAUGUCUCCUGCUUGUCUGGAUGUAGGAGUGCAUGUAUGUGAGUGCAGAAACUGCUGACCUUUGUGCAGUUGGUGUUAUGUAUUCAGUGGUCUGUGUUUGCCUGAGCUUGAGUCUGGACUAAGGAUUUUGAGCCCCUGUGCUCUGAUUCGGUACAUGAUAUCCAGUCACAGAACUUUUCAGGAUUUGGGCCUCUGCCAUUGGCCCUUAAACUAUGAGUUAUGAUACGCAGCUUGGGAGUUUAGACAGCCAAUCACGUUGAGAGUGGGAGUGGCCCAGGCCUUCAGAAAUGUCUUUAAGCAGUUUCUUUGCCCCUGUUGUCCAGUUUUGUUAGUUUAAUAAGGUUCUUGCUGUUAUCACUGUGUCUUGUCUCUUGGGAACCCACCUACACUUCAGUUGGGAUGCAGCCUACUGUACAAAGGCCAGAGUCAUAUCCACGGCCCUGCUUAGUUGUGCCUUUGGCUUCUUUCACUUUGUGCCUCUGCCUCCACUGGUAUCUGGUCCUCCCAGCUCAUAUCUGUCAACUUUUUCCUUUUCUUGCGAGGAAUCCUAUUCAGAAUAAGGGAAUUUCCCCUUAAAAAAAGGAAAACAUUGACAGCUAUGUCCCAGCUGGUUGUCCAUAAGCGAAUGUGGCCCCCAGACAUAUAAAGAUUCCCCAUCAGCAGCUUAAAGCAAGAAAAAAGAGCUUAAUAAAUUCAGCUUUGGAAAAAAGAAGUUAAACUCUGACAAUCACUUGAGAGAAGUUCUGCGUUAACAAGGGGUUGAUUUGUAUCCGUCUUUUCUUUCAAUUGGCCAAGAUAAAUUAUUCCAUUAGCUCAUCAGUAUUGGAGAAACAUAAUCACUCAGUGUAGCUGGACGUUUCAUUCAUUAAUGGAAAGCAGUGCAUAAAUGCAUACAUAAAUAAAAUGCCUGGCAUUUAUAUGACAUACACUGACAGCGGAGAUGCACAUGUCAGGCCGAGAUAUGCUAACGAAUUCCCAUAGAGGACCAUGUUUUCAUUUUUAUGACUGAUUUAUACGCAGCUCUUUCAAAGCUUGAGGUGGCUGGUAUAAAUAAUGUCUAAGAAAACAUCAAAAUGGAAGAAAAAACAACUCAUAGAAUUUAAAUAGCAGCAGGAUUACAAUUCUGUAAAUGGAGCAACUUUUCCACAAAAUCAAUUGUAUGUCUGCCACCAACCUAAAAGAAGAGAGAAGAAGAGUUUGGAUUUGAGAUCCUGCUUUAUCACUCCCCUUCAGGAGUCUCAAAGUGGCUAGCAUUCUCCUUUCGCUUCCUCCCCCACAACAAACACUCUGUGAGGUGAGUGGGGCUGAGAGACUUCAGAGAAGUGUGACUGGCCCAAGGUCACCCAGCAGCUGCAUGUGGAGGAGCGGGGAAGCGAACCCGGUUCACCAGAUUACGAGUCCACCGCUCUUAACCACUACACCACACCGGCUCUCA